UACGUACCGUACGAACGUUAUUCGGAAUCACUGGGCUUAAAGAGUCCGUAGGCGGCCUUAAAGGUGAGGUGUGAAAUCCCACGGCUUAACCGUGGAACUGCGCUUCAAACCAUAAGGCUCGAGGGAGAUAGAGGAAAGCGGAACUGAUGGUGGAGCGGUGAAAUGCGUUGAUAUCAUCAGGAACACCGGUGGCGAAAGCGGCUUUCUGGGUCUCUUCUGACGCUGAGGGACGAAAGCUAGGGGAGCGAACGGG
rnacentral:rRNA from 1 species